AUUAUCUCAUUUUUUACAGGCAAAAGUAUAUAUAAACCAUAUAUUUUUGGAAUCAGUGUAAAUAAAUCUAUCAUAUGAGACCGGAAGUGACAUUUUCUAAACCGGAAGUAGCCAAUUAUCUCCCUUUUUACAGGCAAAAGUAUAUAUAAACCAUAUAUUUUUGGAAUCAGUGUAAAUAAAUCUAUCAUAUGAGACCGGAAGUGACAUUUUCUAAACCGGAAGUAGCCAAUUAUCUCCCUUUUUACAGGCAAAAGUAUAUAUAAACCAUAUAUUUUUGGAAUCAGUGUAAAUAAAUCUUUCAUAUGAGACCGGAAGUGACAUUUUCUAAACCGGAAGUUGACAAUUAUCUCCCUUAUUUCAGGCAAAAGUCUAUAGAAACCAUAUGUUUAUUGAAUCAGUAUGAAGAAACCUAUGAUUGGACGCCAAUAAUAGCUUUGAGUAAACCAGAAUUAGCUUCUCAUCAACUAUUUAGAAAAUUGAUGUGGAAAGACCUUCAAUUGUUCUUUGAACAAUUGGUUUUUAAUUUUUUUUUUCUUCCGCCAAAUUUUGUUCUUGCGAUAAACUUUUGUUUCGCAAGAUGUCGCUUAGAUGUUUCGUAUAUGAUAUCGAACAGUUUAUGCGCCUUUGAAAUUGACCCUGCUUAACAGAAUACUUUUCUUUGUAGGAGUUAUCUCCUCGAACAC